rnacentral:rRNA from 1 species
GAUGAACGCUGGCGGCGUGCCUAAUACAUGCAAGUCGAGCGAACGGACGAGAAGCUUGCUUUUCUGAUUUUAGCGGCGGACGGGUGAUUACCACGUGAAUAACCUACCUAUAAGACUGGGAUACCUUCGGGAAACCGGAGCUAAUACCGGAAAAUAUUUUAAACCGCAUGGUUCAAAAGUGAAAGAGGGUCUUUCUGUCACUAAUAGAUGAUCCCGCGCUGCAUUAGCUAGUUGGUAAGGUAACGGCUUACCAAGGCAACGAUGCAUACCCGACCUGAGGGGGUGAUCGGCCACACUGGAACUGAGACACGGUCCAGACUCCUACGGGAGGCAGCAGUAGGGAAUCUUCCGCAAUGGGCGAAAGCCUGACGGAGCAACGCCGCGUGAGUGAUGAAGGUCUUCGGAUCGUAAAACUCUGUUAUUAGGGAAGAACAUAUGUGUAAGUAACUGUGCACAUCUUGACGGUACCUAAUCAGAAAGCCACGGCUAACUACGUG